GACGAACCGUCCAAACGUUAUUCGGAAUCACUGGGCUUACAGAGUUCGUAGGCGGUCUGGAAAGUUGGGUGUGAAAUCCCUCGGCUCAACCGAGGAACUGCGCUCAAAACUACCCGACUCGAGGGAGAUAGAGGAAAGCGGAACUGAUGGUGGAGCGGUGAAAUGCGUUGAUAUCAUCAGGAACACCGGUGGCGAAGGCGGCUUUCUGGGUCUUACCUGACGCUGAGGAACGAAAGCUAGGGGAGCGAAUGGG
rnacentral:rRNA from 1 species